GGGACGAACGGGCCGGCUAUUUGCCCUGACUUGGGAUAGAUGGAAAAAGGGAAGGCUAUCCGGAUAUUCAGUUCCUGCCGCAUGGUGGGGGUUGGAAAGUUUUUCGGGCAGGACUGAUCCCCGCGGCCUAUCAGCUUGUUGGUGGGGUAAUGGCCUACCAAGGCGACGACGGGUAGCCGGCCUGAGAGGGUGAUCGGCCACACUGGGACUGAGACACGGCCCAGACUCCUACGGGAGGCAGCAGUGGGGAAUAUUGCACAAUGGGCGAAAGCCUGAUGCAGCGACGCCGCGUGGGGGAUGACGGUCUUCGGAUUGUAAACCCCUUUCAGUAGGGACGAAGCGCAAGUGACGGUACCUGCAGAAGAAGCACCGGCCAACUACGUGCCAUCAGCCGCGGUAAUACGUAGGGUGCGAGCGUUGUCCGGAAUUACUGGGCGUAAAGAGCUCGUAGGCGGUUUGUCGCGUCGUCCGUGAAAACUCGGAGCUUAACUCCGAGCUUGCGGGCGAUACGGGCAGACUUGAGUACUACAGGGGAGACUGGAAUUCCUGGUGUAGCGGUGAAAUGCGCAGAUAUCAGGAGGAACACCGGUGGCGAAGGCGGGUCUCUGGGGUGUAACUGACGCUGAGGAGCGAAAGCAUGGGUAGCGAACAGGAUUAGAUACCCCUGGUAGUCCAUGCCCGUAAACGGUGGGCGCUAGGUGUGGGGGUCCUUCCACGGAUUCCCGUGCCGUAGCUAACGCAUUUAAGCCGCCCCGCCUGGGGGAGUUCCGGCCCCCAAGGCCUAA
rnacentral:rRNA from 1 species